ACGGAAGGCAGCAGUGGGGAAUAUUGGGCAAUGGGCGAAAGCCUGACCCAGCGACGCCGCGUGAGGGAUGAAGGUCUUCGGAUUGUAAACUUCUGUCGUCAGGGAAGAAGAAUGACGGUACCUGAUGAGAAAGCCACGGCUAACUACGUGCCAGCAGCCGUGGUAAUACGUAGGUGGCAAGCGUUAUCCGGAUUUACUGGGUGUAAAGGGUGUGUAGGCGGGACUGCAAGUCAGAUGUGAAACUUAUGAGCUUAACUCAUAACCUGCAUUUGAAACUGUGGUUCUUGAGAGUCGGAGAGGUAAACGGAAUUCCUGGUGUAGCGGUGAAAUGCGUAGAUAUCAGGAGGAACACCGGUGGCGAAGGCGGUUUACUGGACGACAACUGACGCUGAGACACGAAGGCGUGGGGAGCAAACAGGAUUAGAUACCCUGGUA
rnacentral:rRNA from 1 species